rnacentral:rRNA from 1 species
ACUCCUACGGGAGGCAGCAGUAGGGAAUCUUCCACAAUGGGCGCAAGCCUGAUGGAGCAACACCGCGUGAGUGAAGAAGGGUUUCGGCUCGUAAAGCUUUGUUGUUAAAGAAGAACACGUAUGAGAGUAACUGUUCAUACGUUGACGGUAUUUAACCAGAAAGUCACGGCUAACUACGUGCCAGCAGCCGCGGUAAUACGUAGGUGGCAAGCGUUAUCCGGAUUUAUUGGGCGUAAAGAGAGUGCAGGCGGUUUUCUAAGUCUGAUGUGAAAGCCUUCGGCUUAACCGGAGAAGUGCAUCGGAAACUGGAUAACUUGAGUGCAGAAGAGGGUAGUGGAACUCCAUGUGUAGCGGUGGAAUGCGUAGAUAUAUGGAAGAACACCAGUGGCGAAGGCGGCUACCUGGUCUGCAACUGACGCUGAGACUCGAAAGCAUGGGUAGCGAACAGGAUUAGAUACCCUGGUAGGAUAGCG